UUACAUUUGACUCCUGCUCGUCUUUUAGUACCAUUUGGUCUUUUUCGUUCUUGGCUUGUUUCUGGUUAAUGCCUUUGUAAUACAACAUCACAUCUUUGUCACUUGAUGGAUUCGGCAUACAGCCCGUAAGUGAAGCGCUGCUUGACUACAAGGCUCAUGCACCUACGUUUGAAGACUUUGUCAAUAUGUAUCCUUACAUGGAAAUACUUACGGAAGGAGCAGCUAACUCGGAAUCAACUAUCGGAGAUGUAGGCUACGGUAAAUUUGGGCUUUUGAAAUAUUCAACUCGUAAUUUCAUUGAAGGUCGAGUAAACGAGCACGAUAUUGUCAAAAGCAAUGGUUAUAUACUCUGGACGUAUACUGUAUCCGUGAGAAUCGGGCUGGGAUUUCAGAUACUUGGUUCUAGAUUGAUUUUGAGUCCUUAUGUGCAUGGGUACCUUUAUAGCGUCGGAGCACCUGAAAGAAUACUGCAAGUCGGACUUAAAGUUGUUAAAGUUUCUUUCAUUCCAGAAAAUAAAAGACGGAAUGACGUCAUGGAUAAAGUUGUCAUAAAUUAAUUGUAGUUUUUUCUUCCAAGUGCAGCUCCGUAUAGUGUCAUACUUAUCUACCAUUUUAUCUAUGGUGUAAAUUUAUACAAAAAAGUAAAUGUUUUUUUUUCAGAUUGGCACCAUUACAUCAAUUUUUAGCUAUUUUUGUGAACUAUUGUCAUUUACACCGUAAUAAUCACAUUUAAGAUGUAACUUUUCUUAAUUUUCACAGCAUCAAGCAAGUCUUACAGAAAAUACAUAAAAUUUGGAAAGUUUGCAUUUUACUUAAGAUCCACAACUUUGUGAAAUAAUGUCAACUUUAUACUAUCCAGUUUGUGAAGCAGUCGUUUGCUCAAAAAAUUAUUAAACUAAGAAAAUUUGUAAAAUAUAGAUUAUUAUAUGAACCGACACAAAAUACAUUUUAAUAAAAAGUGUUUCCUAAAAUACAAAA